GACGAACGCUGGCGGCGUGCUUAACACAUGCAAGUCGAACGGAAAGGCCCUGCUUUUGUGGGGUGCUCGAGUGGCGAACGGGUGAGUAACACGUGAGUAACCUGCCCUUGACUUUGGGAUAACUUCAGGAAACUGGGGCUAAUACCGGAUAGGAGCUCCUGCUGCAUGGUGGGGGUUGGAAAGUUUCGGCGGUUGGGGAUGGACUCGCGGCUUAUUAGCUUGUUGGUGGGGUAGUGGCUUACCAAGGCUUUGACGGGUAGCCGGCCUGAGAGGGUGACCGGCCACAUUGGGACUGAGAUACGGCCCAGACUCCUACGGGAGGCAGCAGUGGGGAAUAUUGCAAAAUGGGCGGAAGCCUGAUGCAGCAACGCAGCGUGCGGGAUGACGGCCUUCGGGUUGUAAACCGCUUUCGCCUGUGACGAAGCGUGAGUGACGGUAAUGGGUAAAGAAGCACCGGCUAACUACGUG
rnacentral:rRNA from 1 species